AUGCUCGCUUCGGCAGCACAUAUACUAAAAUUGGAAUGAUACAGAGAUUAGCAUGGCCCCUGUGCAAGGAUGACACGCAAAUUCAUGGAAAAAAAAAAGAAAAA
rnacentral:snRNA from 1 species